rnacentral:lncRNA from 1 species
AUUGGCUUCUGCGAGGCUCCGAAGCGGCGGACCUCCCAGAGUCCGGCUCGAGAGGAGCCCGGGCCAGCGGUAUUGUCUGGGACGUGUCCCAGCGACCGCGCCUCCGAGAGGAAUGGUUGUGAACAUCACCAUUACAGAGCAGGAGAAACAGAAGCAUUCAGAGUGGCCCCUGUGCAGUAACCCCGCAUAAACCGCCUUCUGAUAACAGGACAGGCAGACAUCGGAGAACUAAAGAUGCCCACCUCCGGCGCCUUUCUUCCACGCUGUGCCAAAGGGAGGAUGAGCCUAAUUGGCCGAAUCCAGAUGAGCUGGGCAGCGCUGUGAAGGAGCCGCAAGCAGCCCUCGGGGCCUCGAGAUGGUAGGCAGAAAGCAGGGCUGGUGUAUGGAGAUGCCCUCACCCCGACUCCCACCUCCAGGAAGAUCUUGACUUUGGGGGUUGGGUGACCCCAGAGAAGAGUGAUGGUUAGUCUCAUCAAUGUCAGACUUCUUAUCGGGCACUGAGCGAGCAUUUCUUCUGAGCCUUAGAAUGUCCAUCUGAAAGCGUUUGUAAGGGUCUGGCA